GGAAAGAUGCUCGAGUGGUUGAAGAGGCACGCCUGGAAAGCGUGUAAACGCCCAAAGCGUUUCACGGGUUCGAAUCCCGUUCUUUCCG
rnacentral:tRNA from 1 species